AUUGAACGCUGGUGGCAUGCUUUACACAUGCAAGUCGAACGGUAACAGGUUAAGCUGACGAGUGGCGAACGGGUGAGUAAUGCAUCGGAACGUGCCCGGUCGUGGGGGAUAACACUUCGAAAGAAGUGCUAAUACCGCAUACGAUCUAAGGAUGAAAGCGGGGGACCGUAAGGCCUCGCGCGAUCGGAGCGGCCGAUGUCAGAUUAGGUAGUUGGUGGGGUAAAGGCCUACCAAGCCGACGAUCUGUAGCUGGUCUGAGAGGACGACCAGCCACACUGGGACUGAGACACGGCCCAGACUCCUACGGGAGGCAGCAGUGGGGAAUUUUGGACAAUGGGCGCAAGCCUGAUCCAGCAAUGCCGCGUGCAGGAAGAAGGCCUUCGGGUUGUAAACUGCUUUUGUACGGAGCGAAAAGGCUCUCUCUAAUACAGGGGGCUGAUGACGGUACCGUAAGAAUAAGCACCGGCUAACUACGUGCCAGCCGCCGCUGUAA
rnacentral:rRNA from 1 species